GUCAGCACCACCAUGAGAUCCUUCAUCUUCCAGGUUCUGCUGUGCCUGAGCUUUGUGGCAAUGGCUAUUUCUCAGUUCUAUGCCGUUCCCGACGAAGUUCUAGACUCUAUUAAACAGUCCAUAGAUAUGAUAUACAAUAAUGCAGAUGGAGGAACUGAAAAACUAGAAGCAUGAUCUUUCAGGACUUCAAUAAGUUGCCCUGAAGAAUCAACCCGGACCAAUCUCUUCCAAGAAUGAAGAAUUAAAAGAAUGUACUUUAAUUAAAAAU